rnacentral:rRNA from 1 species
UUGAAAGGGAAACGAUUGAAGUAGUAUGUAGGAGGAAUAAUUGGUGGUGUGAGUUUAUUCUCGUGUGAUUCUGUUGGAGGUUAGAUAAUUUUGAUUGUAUAAAUAAUUGGGGUAAUGUGGUUUUUGGUGGAGUGUUAUAGACCGGUGGAUGUGGGAUUGGGAUUGAGGAUUGAGGGAUGCUUUGGUAGUAAUGAUUUUGGUGUAUUGUUUGAAGUUGUGAUNAUNGNGAUUNGGGUUUAGGUGUGGUNUGAUAUAAAUUCGUUAAGGAUGUUGACGUA